rnacentral:rRNA from 1 species
CAACCACGGGACGCAGCAGUAGGGAAUCUUCCACAAUGGACGAAAGUCUGAUGGAGCAACGCCGCGUGAGUGAAGAAGGGUUUCGGCUCGUAAAGCUCUGUUGGUAGUGAAGAAAGAUAGAGGUAGUAACUGGCCUUUAUUUGACGGUAAUUACUUAGAAAGUCACGGCUAACUACGUGCCAGCAGCCGCGGUAAUACGUAGGUGGCAAGCGUUGUCCGGAUUUAUUGGGCGUAAAGCGAGCGCAGGCGGGUCAAUAA